AUGGCUGAAAAAAUCAACAUGUCUCUGGAUGAAAUCAUCAAGCAUGGCCAGAAAAAAGUGAAGUCCGAGCGAGUAUCUGCACCAGCAGGAGCAUCUACUAGCAACAAAGCUGGAAACAAACCCACUCGCCCAGGAAAUGCCGGAAGAAACAACCGCAGAGUCCCACCAAGAAAGAGUGCUCAAGUUGUUUUGGCGAACAAGGUUUUGAAGAAAUCGAAAGCAAUUGCUGCUCGUCGUGCAGCUGGAGGUCAAAAACGCGUUUUCGGUGCCCGUGGAAAACCUGCUGCGGCUGCAGGAUUGAGCGCUGUUGCCACCAAGAAGCUGGUUAAUAAGCUCGUCAAGAAUGCCCUUCGCAAAAGAACCAAUAUCACGACUGUUCCAGUCGUUCGUAAGCGUGGAGUACGUUUUUACCAGAUUUUGUUCUAUAGUUGAAUAUCGAGCUUUGAAAAAUGGAUUCUUGAAGUGAAAUCUGGAUACCACACGCAUUAAGCGUUGUAGUAAAAGGCUAAAAAUCAGGUCGAGAGUUUGAUUUAUUCCUCUCGUGUCGCGAUAGAACCUAGACGUUCUUCGUGUUUUUUGAAACCGCGAUGAAUAGUUGGAAAUACGAUCAUCCACUAUUGAAAACCUGAUAGAAAGCCAGGCUUCUGCCAAAAAAUCAGAACAGAUGGUCUCAAUUUGUGUGAAGUUCCUUCCGGAGAGACAGACAGCAACUUCUCCUCAGCUUCUUCAGCGUGUCGAGAGUUCUUCCAAUCUUUCACGGAGGUAAGGUAAAUGAUUUCAGGGUGUUGCUGCUUCAACUCUUGCCGCCAGACGAAAUUUUGCAUUGAAACGAAAUGUCACUGCUGCCCAAGUGAUUCAACCUGUGAGAACAAUCAUCCAACAGAGACCAAUAACGGCUCCUGUUCGUACUAUCGUACAGCAUGUUCGUCAAGCUCCAGUCAAAGUUGUUCGCCAAAUCAUCACUGCUCCUGUGCAAUCUCAAGUGAUUCGUAGAGCACCGCAACAACAAGUUCGUCAGAACCGUCCACAGCAGAGACGCAAUGUGAUUAUUCAAUCACAGCAAUCGAGAAGAUUCCGUCCAACAAACAACAACAAUAAUAAUCGUCCAACAGUCAUUCGUCGUCAAGUCGUUCAACAAGUUCCAAGACGCGCUCAAGUUCAAAGACCACAGUAUGAGCAGGUCGUGCAAAGAGUAAUCCAGACUCCAGUGGCUCAGCAACGUUUCCAACGCCAGCCACAACGCUUCCAGCAACAGCAACCUCGUUUCCAGCAACAACCCCCGCGCUUCCAGAGACAGCAGCAGCCACAACAACAGCAAGUUGUGAGAAGCGUCAGAUAUGUGAAUGCAAGACCACCUGUUCAGAGAAACAAUGUUGUUCGUCAAGUUCAGCCAGUUCAAUAUCGUCCAGUCCAAUACGUCACUGAUCAGGUUGUCAACUCUCGUGGUCGUGGAUUCCGUGCCUUCUAA